rnacentral:rRNA from 1 species
ACGUAGGGGGCAAGCGUUAUCCGGAUUUACUGGGUGUAAAGGGAGCGUAGACGGCACGGCAAGCCAGAUGUGAAAGCCCGGGGCUCAACCCCGGGACUGCAUUUGGAACUGCUGAGCUAGAGUGUCGGAGAGGUAAGUGGAAUUCCUAGUGUAGCGGUGAAAUGCGUAGAUAUUAGGAGGAACACCAGUGGCGAAGGCGGCUUGCUGGACGAUGACUGACGUUGAGGCUCGAAAGCGUGGGGAGCAAACAG